rnacentral:rRNA from 1 species
GAUGAACGCUGGCGGCGUGCCUAAUACAUGCAAGUCGAGCGAACAGACGAGGAGCUUGCUCCUUUGACGUUAGCGGCGGACGGGUGAGUAACACGUAGGUAACCUACCUAUAAGACUGGGAUAACUUCGGGAAACCGGAGCUAAUACCGGAUAAUAUUUCGAACCGCAUGGUUCGAUAGUGAAAGAUGGCUUUGCUAUCACUUAUAGAUGGACCUGCGCCGUAUUAGCUAGUUGGUAAGGUAACGGCUUACCAAGGCAACGAUACGUAGCCGACCUUAGAGGGUGAUCGGCCACACUGGAACUGAGACACGGUCCAGACUCCUACGGGAGGCAGCAGUAGGGAAUCUUCCGCAAUGGGCGAAAGCCUGACGGAGCAACGCCGCGUGAGUGAUGAAGGUCUUCGGAUCGUAAAACUCUGUUAUUAGGGAAGAACAAACGUGUAAGUAACUGUGCACGUCUUGACGGUACCUAAUCAGAAAGCCACGGCUAACUACGU